rnacentral:rRNA from 1 species
GACGAACGCUGGCGGCGUGCUUAACACAUGCAAGUCGAACGCGAACUAGAGGUUGGAAGUUUACUUCCAACCUCUAGGGAGAGUGGCGGACGGGUGAGUAACGCGUGGGUAACCUACCCGUAAAUCCGGGAUAACAGCGGGAAACCGCUGCUAAUACCGGAUACACCCAUCGGCUCGAGUGGGCGGAUGGGGAAAGGCCCUAAUGGGGCUGUUUACGGAUGGGCCCGCGUCCCAUUAGCUAGUUGGUAGGGUAAGGGCCUACCAAGGCGACGAUGGGUAGCCGGCCUGAGAGGGUGGCCGGCCACACUGGAACUGAGACACGGUCCAGACUCCUACGGGAGGCAGCAGUGGGGAAUCUUGCGCAAUGGGCGGAAGCCUGACGCAGCAACGCCGCGUGUGGGAAGAAGGCCUUCGGGUUGUAAACCACUGUCUGGGGGGACGAAGGGCCGGGGGAGGAAAUGCCCCUGGUGUGACGGUACCCCCGGAGGAAGCCCCGGCUAACUACGUG